UUAUUUAAGAGAUCUAACCUGCCCACUGAAAGAUUUUAAAGGGCCGCAGUAUUCUUGACUGUGCAAAGGUAGCAUAAUCAUUAGUCUUUUAAUUGAAGGCUAGAAUGAAUGGUUGGAUAAGGUAAAUUCUGUUUUAUAUUAAAUUAAUUGAAUUUAAAUUUUAAGUAAAAAAGCUUAAAUGAAAUUAAGGGACGAGAAGACCCUAUAGAGUUUAAUAAAUAUAUUAAUUAAUUAAGUUAAUAAAUAAUUUUUAGUUAUUAUAAAAUUUAUUUAAUUGGGGUGAUUAAAAGAUAAAAAAAACUCUUUUUUGGUUUUAAUAAUAUAAGUAGUUAUAUGAUCCAUAUUUAAUGAUUGUAAGAUUAAAUUACCUUAGGGAUAACAGCAUAAUUUCUUUUGAGAGUUCAUAUUGAGAAGGAAGAUUAUGACCUCGAUGUUGGAUUAAGAUUAAUUUUAGGUGUAGAUGUUUAAAAAUUAGGUCUGUUCGACCUUUAAAAUCUUACAUG
rnacentral:rRNA from 1 species